CUCCCUGGAGACCACGAUGAUGCUCACUUUAAAGCGGCAGCCUCCGGGCUGUGAAGAAACAUAAAGAAAUAGUGCGCUCUGUUGGGACAUUAAUCGAAGACUUUUCACGAGAAUCAAGGGGCUCAAGGCGAACGUGCGGACGAGCCUUGAAAAGCCUUGAUAAGCAGAAAUUGAUGGAAAUUGUGUCUCUCGGAGCUCUUCCAAUAACGCGCGCGACAGCGGAUAAGCGGAGGAAGGAAACGCCGAACGCGUGCAUGUUUCCUCGUCUGGAAAUGAUUUCACGUCGAUCGAUCGCGUGAGCGCUUGCAGGCCCUUAAAAGCUGCGAUUCCAUCAGCUUGGCCACGCAAUCGAAGAACCGUUUGAACUGCCUGCGCUGCAUCGGACUGGGCACCAUCUUCUUCCU